rnacentral:rRNA from 1 species
AUGAAGCAACAAGUCAAGGAACUAGUGCGGCAAUGUCUGGUCUGUCAACAAGCCAAAACUGAGCGAGUAUCUCCCGUGGGUCUAUUACAACCAUUACCCAUUCCUCAACGGCCGUGGGCAGUAAUAUCACUUGAUUUCAUCGAAGGGUUGCUGAAAUCUGGGGGAUACAUCGCAAUACUAGUGGUGGUGGACAAGUUUUCCAAGUAUGCCCAUUUCCUUCCACUGACUCACCCCUUUACUGCUCUGGACAUUGCAAAAGUGUUUAUGCGAGAGAUUUUCAAACUUCACGGAAUGCCAAUGGGGAUCAUCUCCGACCGCGAUUGUAUCUUCAACGGGCAGGUUUGGCAAGAACUGUUUUGUCUAUGCCAUACGGAGUUAAAGAUGAGCUCCUCCUAUCAUCCUCAGACGGACGGGCAGACGGAGAGGGUAAACCAAUGCCUUGAGACCUAUCUCCGCUGUUCGGUGCAUGCUUGGCCCUCAAACUGGUCCAAGUGGUUGUCACUCGCAGAAUACUGGUAUAACACGUGCUUUCACUCUUCUCUGGGGCGUACUCCGUUUGAGGUCAUAUAUGGGCACUUGCCUCGGGAGUUUGCAUCGACCAAGUGA